rnacentral:rRNA from 1 species
GGUUAAGCGACUAAGCGUACACGGUGGAUGCCCUGGCAGUCAGAGGCGAUGAAGGACGUGCUAAUCUGCGAAAAGCGUCGGUAAGGUGAUAUGAACCGUUAUAACCGGCGAUGUCCGAAUGGGGAAACCCAGUGUGUUUCGACACACUAUCAUUAACUGAAUCCAUAGGUUAAUGAGGCGAACCGGGGGAACUGAAACAUCUAAGUACCCCGAGGAAAAGAAAUCAACCGAGAUUCCCCCAGUAGCGGCGAGCGAACGGGGAGGAGCCCAGAGCCUGAAUCAGUGUGUGUGUUAGUGGAAGCGUCUGGAAAGGCGCGCGAUACAGGGUGACAGCCCCGUACACAAAAAUGCACAUGCUGUGAGCUCGAUGAGUAGGGCGGGACACGUGGUAUCCUGUCUGAAUAUGGGGGGACCAUCCUCCAAGGCUAAAUACUCCUGACUGACCGAUAGUGAACCAGUACCGUGAGGGAAAGGCGAAAAGAACCCCGGCGAGGGGAGUGAAAAAGAACCUGAAACCGUGUACGUACAAGCAGUGGGAGCCCUGAUUUAUCAGGGUGACUGCGUACCUUUUGUAUAAUGGGUCAGCGACUUAUAUUCUGUAGCAAGGUUAACCGAAUAGGGGAGCCGGAGGGAAACCGAGUCUUAACUGGGCGUUAAGUUGCAGGGUAUAGACCCGAAACCCGGUGAUCUAGCCAUGGGCAGGUUGAAGGUUGGGUAACACACUAACUGGAGGACCGAACCGACUAAUGUUGAAAAAUUAGCGGAUGACUUGUGGCUGGGGGUGAAAGGCCAAUCAAACCGGGAGAUAGCUGGUUCUCCCCGAAAGCUAUUUAGGUAGCGCCUCGUGAAUUCAUCUCCGGGGGUAGAGCACUGUUUCGGCAAGGGGGUCAUCCCGACUUACCAACCCGAUGCAAACUGCGAAUACCGGAGAAUGUUAUCACGGGAGACACACGGCGGGUGCUAACGUCCGUCGUGAAGAGGGAAACAACCCAGACCGCCAGCUAAGGUCCCAAAGUCAUGGUUAAGUGGGAAACGAUGUGGGAAGGCCCAGACAGCCAGGAUGUUGGCUUAGAAGCAGCCAUCAUUUAAAGAAAGCGUAAUAGCUCACUGGUCGAGUCGGCCUGCGCGGAAGAUGUAACGGGGCUAAACCAUGCACCGAAGCUGCGGCAGCGACACUGUGUGUUGUUGGGUAGGGGAGCGUUCUGUAAGCCUGCGAAGGUGUGCUGUGAGGUAUGCUGGAGGUAUCAGAAGUGCGAAUGCUGACAUAAGUAACGAUAAAGCGGGUGAAAAGCCCGCUCGCCGGAAGACCAAGGGUUCCUGUCCAACGUUAAUCGGGGCAGGGUGAGUCGACCCCUAAGGCGAGGCCGAAAGGCGUAGUCGAUGGGAAACAGGUUAAUAUUCCUGUACUUGGUGUUACUGCGAAGGGGGGACGGAGAAGGCUAUGUUGGCCGGGCGACGGUUGUCCCGGUUUAAGCGUGUAGGCUGGUUUUCCAGGCAAAUCCGGAAAAUCAAGGCUGAGGCGUGAUGACGAGGCACUACGGUGCUGAAGCGACAAAUGCCCUGCUUCCAGGAAAAGCCUCUAAGCAUCAGGUAACAUCAAAUCGUACCCCAAACCGACACAGGUGGUCAGGUAGAGAAUACCAAGGCGCUUGAGAGAACUCGGGUGAAGGAACUAGGCAAAAUGGUGCCGUAACUUCGGGAGAAGGCACGCUGAUAUGUAGGUGAAGCGACUUGCUCGUGGAGCUGAAAUCAGUCGAAGAUACCAGCUGGCUGCAACUGUUUAUUAAAAACACAGCACUGUGCAAACACGAAAGUGGACGUAUACGGUGUGACGCCUGCCCGGUGCCGGAAGGUUAAUUGAUGGGGUCAGCGCAAGCGAAGCUCUUGAUCGAAGCCCCGGUAAACGGCGGCCGUAACUAUAACGGUCCUAAGGUAGCGAAAUUCCUUGUCGGGUAAGUUCCGACCUGCACGAAUGGCGUAAUGAUGGCCAGGCUGUCUCCACCCGAGACUCAGUGAAAUUGAACUCGCUGUGAAGAUGCAGUGUACCCGCGGCAAGACGGAAAGACCCCGUGAACCUUUACUAUAGCUUGACACUGAACACUGGUCCUUGAUGUGUAGGAUAGGUGGGAGGCUUUGAAGUGUGGACGCCAGUCUGCAUGGAGCCGUCCUUGAAAUACCACCCUUUAAUGGCUGGUGUUCUAACGUGGGCCCGUAAUCCGGGUUGCGGACAGUGUCUGGUGGGUAGUUUGACUGGGGCGGUCUCCUCCUAAAGAGUAACGGAGGAGCACGAAGGUUGGCUAAUCCUGGUCGGACAUCAGGAGGUUAGUGCAAUGGCAUAAGCCAGCUUGACUGCGAGCGUGACGGCGCGAGCAGGUGCGAAAGCAGGUCAUAGUGAUCCGGUGGUUCUGAAUGGAAGGGCCAUCGCUCAACGGAUAAAAGGUACUCCGGGGAUAACAGGCUGAUACCGCCCAAGAGUUCAUAUCGACGGCGGUGUUUGGCACCUCGAUGUCGGCUCAUCACAUCCUGGGGCUGAAGUAGGUCCCAAGGGUAUGGCUGUUCGCCAUUUAAAGUGGUACGCGAGCUGGGUUUAGAACGUCGUGAGACAGUUCGGUCCCUAUCUGCCGUGGGCGCUGGAGAACUGAGGGGGGCUGCUCCUAGUACGAGAGGACCGGAGUGGACGCAUCACUGGUGUUCGGGUUGUCAUGCCAAUGGCACUGCCCGGUAGCUAAAUGCGGAAGAGAUAAGUGCUGAAAGCAUCUAAGCACGAAACUUGCCCCGAGAUGAGUUCUCCCUGAGACUUAGAGUCUCCUGAAGGAACGUUGAAGACGACGACGUUGAUAGGCCGGGUGUGUAAGCGCAGCGAUGCGUUGAGCUAACCGGUACUAAUGAACCGUGAGGCUUAACCUU